rnacentral:miRNA from 1 species
GAGAAGCAACAAAAUCAUAUCUCUGUUGAAGAUUUCAUCACGAUUGAGUGCUUCGUUAUGGGAGCGAUGAGGGAAGAGAGGUGUGAUAGCGGGAUCGGUCUCAUCAUUAUCAUCAUCGCUAU